CAGUCGCCACGGUAAUACAGAGGGUGCGAGCGUUAAUCGGAUUUACUGGGCGUAAAGCGUGCGUAGGCGGUUUGGCAAGUCUAAUGUGAAAUCUUCGGGCUCAACUCGAAGUCUGCAUUGGAAACUGCCGGCUUGAGUAUGGGAGAGGUGAGUGGAAUUUCCGGUGUAGCGGUGAAAUGCGUAGAUAUCGGAAGGAACACCUGUGGCGAAAGCGGCUCACUGGACCAUAACUGACGCUGAGGCGCGAAAGCUAGGGGAGCAAACAGGAUUAGAUACCCCUGUAGUCCCUGUCUCUUAUACC
rnacentral:rRNA from 1 species